UGCAAGUCGAGCGGUAGAGAGGUGCUUGCACCUCUUGAGAGCGGCGGACGGGUGAGUAAUGCCUAGGAAUCUGCCUGGUAGUGGGGGAUAACGUUCGGAAACGGACGCUAAUACCGCAUACGUCCUACGGGAGAAAGCAGGGGACCUUCGGGCCUUGCGCUAUCAGAUGAGCCUAGGUCGGAUUAGCUAGUUGGUGAGGUAAUGGCUCACCAAGGCGACGAUCCGUAACUGGUCUGAGAGGAUGAUCAGUCACACUGGAACUGAGACACGGUCCAGACUCCUACGGGAGGCAGCAGUGGGGAAUAUUGGACAAUGGGCGAAAGCCUGAUCCAGCCAUGCCGCGUGUGUGAAGAAGGUCUUCGGAUUGUAAAGCACUUUAAGUUGGGAGGAAGGGUUGUAGAUUAAUACUCUGCAAUUUUGACGUUACCGACAGAAUAAGCACCGGCUAACUCUGUGCCAGCAGCCGCGGUAAUACAGAGGGUGCAAGCGUUAAUCGGAAUUACUGGGCGUAAAGCGCGCGUAGGUGGUUCGUUAAGUUGGAUGUGAAAGCCCCGGGCUCAACCUGGGAACUGCAUUCAAAACUGUCGAGCUAGAGUAUGGUAGAGGGGUGGGGGGGAAUUUCCUGGUGUAGCGGUGAAAUGCGUAGAUAUAGGAAGGAACACCAGUGGCGAAGGCGACCACCUGGACUGAUACUGACACUGAGGUGCGAAAGCGUGGGGAGCAAACAGGAUUAGAUACCCUGGUAGUCCACGCCGUAAACGAUGUCAACUAGCCGUUGGGAGCCUUGAGCUCUUAGUGGCGCAGCUAACGCAUUAAGUUGACCGCCCUGGGGAAGUACGGCCCGCAAGGUUAAAAACUCAAAUGAAAUUGACGGGGGGCCCGGCACAAGCGGUGGGAAGCAUGGUGGUUUUAAAUUCGAAAGCCAACGCCGAAA
rnacentral:rRNA from 1 species